rnacentral:lncRNA from 1 species
CAUCAAGAGAGAAAGAUAACAAGGAGACUAUGGGGAGCUAGAAUAUCAAGUUAGAUUCAAGAAAUAGAAGCUGGAGGAGAGAGAAAAUCAAGUUAAAGAUUGAAAUCAAUUGAGCAAGGUAAGAACAUCAAGAUUUCAAAAUAUUUUUGAGUUUGAUAUUAUUGAAAAGGUAUGAAAUUGAUUUUAAUGUAGAGUUUUAUUAUAUAAGGUUUUAUUUUCUUGGUAUGUUAGUGAAGAGAAAAUAAGAGAAAGUGAUGAGAAAUAGUGUAGAGAAAGAAAAUAAGAGUGUUAUAAACUUAGUAAUCAAUAUUUUGCACUAAAACAGUUUGGACAGCAGCAGAAGGUCAACUUUGAAAAAUCACCAAAAAUUGUGGGAAUUGAAUUAGAAGAUGAAUAAAAUAUGAAAUUAAAUCUUAUUGAGUCUAGUUUCUCAUAGAAGGAACGGUGUAAGCAAUAGAAUUGUAAAUCAUGAGAUAUAAUAGGUUUUGUGAGUUAAGGUCAGAAUGAUUUCGGGUUCCCCUGUACUGAAUUUGGAAAAUCAUAAAAAAUUGGAAAAAAAUAAUUAGAGGCUCAAAUUUAUAUUUUUAAAUCUUUAAUGAGUCUAUUUUCAAUAGAAAUAAACGGUAACAUCAUUCGAAUUCUGUACAAGGAGAUAAUUAAUUGUUAGUGAAGAAGAGUCGGAACUGUCAGACAGCAGAACAGGGAUGACUUUAAAGAAUAAACUGUAUUUAUUCGCUAAACCAAAAAUUAUGAAAGUUCUAUGGCAAGAAGAUAUGUGAGUCUAGUUUCAGGUAAAAUUAACGGAUCUUAAUUGGGAUUUCUGUAGCUCAAGAUAUAAAUGAUUUAGUGACUAUGACUCAAAUGGACAGCUUUGAAUAAAUUUACAAGAAAAUAGUGAAAUUAUAGAUAAUGUUAUUUAUAGCAUGUUAAGUAAAUUAAGGAUGUGGAAUGGAGAGGAGGAGGAGGAAAAAUAAAUGUAUGAAUAUUAUGUUAGCAUGGAUUUGCAUUUCAAAUGGUUAAUUUGCAUGAUUUGGGCUCAAGGACUAAAUUGAACAAAUGUGAAACUUUAAGGGUAAAUUUGUAAAAAUGUCAAAGUGACCAAAUUGUUCAUGAAUUAUUUUAUCAUUUAAAUUAGUAAAUUGAAUGAAAUAUUAAUUUAGAUCAAGAUUGGGUGGAAAUUCGAGAAAAUAGAAAAUUACCAAAAUGUCACUAAAUUUUGGUAUUUCUACAAUUUAGCCUGGUAAGUUCGUAUGAACUAUAUUUUGUAUAAUUUUAAUUGGAGAGAAUGCUAUUUGGUAAUGAAUAUUAUAUAGAUAUGUGAUUUAUUAUUGUAAUUGAAUUAUUAUUGGUAAUAUGACAAUUAUUAGAUGUAUUGAAAUGAUUAUCGGAAUCUCGAUUGUGUUGGUAGGAAAUGUUGCAUUAUUUAUAUUGUGAAGAACUAUAAAAGCAUGUUAAUAAUUUGAAAGUUUUUAAUAAUUAAUGAAAUUUUAUUACUCGAUUUAAUAUGUUUACAAGUGUAUGUUUCAGUAAUGCCUCGUACCCUAUUCCAGCGUCGAAUACGGGUAAGGGGUGUUACACAUACAUAUUUGUUCUAGCCUCUUCCAUAAUCCAGCGGCGGUUUUCUCCUUCAUCACAUCCAAUAAAAUUUCGUUAAACAAAUGCAGAUGUAACUGUGUUAACGCCUUUCGAUCAUUGCGCUUCUUCUCUUCCUCUGUCAAUGUCGAAGGCAUCUUAUCUAUCCCUAGCAAGGCUUCCUCUAAGUCCAUCUGUGCAAGAACUGCCUGCAUCUUUAUCUGCCACAACGCGAAUCUGAUGUUGCGAUCCAAUAGCGGAAUUUCAUACUUCAAAGACGCCAUUACCGUGAUUGAGAUGAACAACCUGGAAGCUCGGAUACCAAUUUGUAAAAAUAGAAUGUCGGUAAUGACAAUAUAUCUCAAAGAAAAGAGAGAAAAAAGAAAAGAAAUAAAAAUAAAGAACAUACAAAAUUUUUACGUGGAAACCCUUUCGAGAAAAAAACCACGGGCAGAGGAGAAGAAAAUUCACUAUGUCGAAUUCGAAUUGAUUACAAUAUGAGUAGACUAUGUCUAUUUAUAGGCUUGUAAAACCAUAUUCUAAUAGGAGUGUAGUAAGAUUGAAACAUCUUAUUCUAAUCAAUAUCAAAUAGAUGGA